rnacentral:rRNA from 1 species
GACGAACGCUGGCGGCGUGCCUAAUACAUGCAAGUAGAACGCUGAAGAGAGGAGCUUGCUCUUCUUGGAUGAGUUGCGAACGGGUGAGUAACGCGUAGGUAACCUGCCUUGUAGCGGGGGAUAACUAUUGGAAACGAUAGCUAAUACCGCAUAACAAUGGAUGACACAUGUCAUUUAUUUGAAAGGGGCAAUUGCUCCACUACAAGAUGGACCUGCGUUGUAUUAGCUAGUAGGUGAGGUAAUGGCUCACCUAGGCGACGAUACAUAGCCGACCUGAGAGGGUGAUCGGCCACACUGGGACUGAGACACGGCCCAGACUGCUACGGGAGGCAGCAGUAGGGAAUCUUCGGCAAUGGGGGCAACCCUGACCGAGCAACGCCGCGUGAGUGAAGAAGGUUUUCGGAUCGUAAAGCUCUGUUGUAAGUCAAGAACGGGUGUGAGAGUGGAAAGUUCACACUGUGACGGUAGCUUACCAGAAAGGGACGGCUAACUACGUG